GCGAACUUGGAGAAGCGCGUGGUUCCGAUGCCACACCAGCCGCAUACAGAGGAAAAAGGGGAUCAGAGCGUGCAGCUAAACAGGCCUCUAUCGGGCGUAGCUUACUCUACAGCAUCAAUCUUCCCUAACAAUAGGCCUACCUAGGCAGAGGGCCACCAAGGGCUUACCCCAGAAGAAUAGUCCACACAGCCGGAAGACCGCCCGUCUCUGGCGGCAGCAGACCCCCCAGGCUUUUCGUUGCUCCCAAGAUGGUAAGGACUCUAUGAGAGAAGUCCGUGAAAUUAAGAUCCCGGCACUCCAAAAGGCCUUGGGCUGGAGGGGGGCCUUCACUCACCCCCAUCGACAUCACAGCUUUUGGGAUCUAGGAAUCCGCACACCAAGUCAAGGGAUCGGAUAAAAGCAAGCUUUCCAGCCUAUGCACCCCUGCCACACUGAUCUACUCAUGCUGCCAUCUUGUCGAGCCAGAAGUCAGACAGCUUCUACCGGACACAUGAUUUAUUUACCUAGCUUUAUGUCUCUUAAACCUGUAAUAUCUCCUUAUAAUUAAU